CAGAUUUCAUUCUAGCUCCAAUUCGUAUACACAAACAUACAUACAGACAAAUAAAUUUUAUUUUUUUGUGUAAUAAAAGGGAAAUUCUUGAAAUAUUGCAACCACAACCGAUGGACAACAAUAGAAGUGGCGAGGCCCGUGGAUCUGGUUGGCUUAAGAGAAAACAUAGUGGAGACGAGUGUCUCAUAGCUGCAAAGAGACCGAAGACAUGCCGUAAUGCUGAGCGUCCGCCUAAGUUGCAAUUCCUACAAUCCUGGUUCCAUUGCAAUAGCUAUGCUGCUGUUCGAAACCGCAAUAAGCAGCGACUUUAGACAUUGAAGCAUUCACAUUUGUAUAACAAACGUUGCAUAUUUUGUAAAAAUUAAUUGACUGUUCAGUUGUUGCA